rnacentral:rRNA from 1 species
UGGGGAAUCUUGGACAAUGGGGGCAACCCUGAUCCAGCGACGCCGCGUGGGUGGUAAGGCCUUCGGGUUGUAAAGCCCUUUCAGCGGGGAAGAUGAUGACAUUACCCGCGGAAGAAGCGCCGGCUAACUCCGUGCCAGCAGCCGCGGUAAGACGGAGGGCGCUAGCGUUGUUCGGAAUCACUGGGCGUAAAGGGCGCGUAGGCGGCUGCUUAAGUCGAGGGUGAAAGCCCGGGGCUCAACCUCGGAACGGCCUUCGAGACUGGGCGGCUAGAGAUCGGAAGAGGAGGGUGGAAUACCCAGUGUAGAGGUGAAAUUCGUAGAUAUUGGGAAGAACACCGGUGGCGAAGGCGGCGACCUGGUCCGGUACUGACGCUGAGGCGCGAAAGCGUGGGGAGCAAACAGGAUUAGAUACCCGCGUAGUCC